GGUCAGGAUUCGCGGUCGGUAUGAGCGUGAGGUAUUUGUUCGGGAUUCGCAGUCGGUAUGAGCGUGAGGUAUUUGGUCGGGAUACGCGGUUGGUAUGAGCGUGAGGUAUUUGGUCGGGAUACGCGGUUGGUAUGAGCGUGAGGUAUUUGGUCGGGAUACGCGGUUGGUAUGAGCGUGAGGUAUUUGGUCGGGAUACGCGGUUGGUAUGAGCGUGAGGUAUUUGGUCGGGAUACGCGGUUGGUAUGAGCGUGAGGUAUUCGGUCAGGAUACGUGGUCGGUACCCCAAUACUAGCGCGAGGCCUUCAUUAGGAUUACAUACCUGACGCCCUGCUGCCUGACGUGGGCGAUGGGUGGUGGAGCUCGGGUGGCCGUCUCUCUC